GGUGGAGCGAUUUGUCUGGUUAAUUCCGAUAACGAACGAGACUCUAGCCUAUUAAAUAGACGAUAUAUUUUUUACGUAUAUCGUGCUUCUUAGAGGGACAAGCAGCUUCUAGCUGCACGAGAUUGAGCAAUAACAGGUCUGUGAUGCCCUUAGAUGUCCGGGGCUGCACGCGCGCUACAAUGAAAAUAGCAGUGCGAGUCGAAAACCUUUUCUGGAAAGAAUUGGCAAACGCAAAAUAUUUUCGUGAUUGGGAUAGGGGGUUGCAAUUAUUGCCCUUGAACGAGGAAUUCCCAGUAAGUUCGAGUCAUCAGCUCAAG
rnacentral:rRNA from 1 species